rnacentral:rRNA from 1 species
UACGUAGGUGGCAAGCGUUGUCCGGAUUUACUGGGCGUAAAGAGCGCGCAGGCGGUUGAUUAAGUCGCAUGUGAAAGCCCCCGGCUCAACUGGGGAGGGUCAUUCGAUACUGAUCAACUUGAAGGCAGGAGAGGGUAGUGGAAUUCCCGGUGUAGUGGUGAAAUGCGUAGAUAUCGGGAGGAACACCAGUGGCGAAGGCGACUACCUGGCCUGUUCUUGACGCUGAGGCGCGAAAGCUGGGGGAGCAAACGGG